UAUUCCUGUGUUGUCUCUCAUAGGUGUGAUGGCUGUACUGGUCAGAGUUAUCAGCAUCCUGUACUGGAUACCAUGUUUGUUCGCUCUCACUGGAGAAAGAAUGGACUGGCUUUACAGAUGCUGGAGGAUUUCUGCUCAUCCCAACCUUCAGAUGGGAUUCUGGGAAUUAGCUUUCCCAUGUCUUCUGGCAUGUAUGGAGUUUGCAGGGAGUAUCUUGAGAUUCAUGACGAAGAAAGAGAUCGGCUGUAUGAGAUGGAAGCCCCUGGUGACUGGACUCAGUGACACAAUGUGUGGAUAAACAUCCAGCUCAUUCAAACAGACUGUGGAGACUCAAAGCAAAGUUCACACACCUCAUACAGUGACAGUAGAUCUGAUUUAAAAGAACAGGGGAAGCUGCAACAAUGUGUAUCAUCAGUCAGCCUCAAAGAGCUAUCAAGCUCUGGUAAGAAGCGACCAGCAGAGCAGACCAAGACAAGAACCAACUAUAUAAAAGCCAGGACUUAACCUUAAAUUGCAGUGUGCUGUAAUGUAAGUGUCCAGGGAGCUCUCAGAUGGAUGGUUUACUUUCAAACUGUAUCUGACUGAACCUAAACAUUCAAAACAUAUGGCUGGGCUGUCCAACGUGUGUAGAUCAUGUUUUUAGUAUUCUCAGAGAAUCCAAGGAGGUGGAAUUACUGUACAAGUGCCUUCAUGAUUAGUCUACAGUAAUAGUGUGUGACCUGAUUGAACAAAUCAAUAUUUCUGUUAUUUAAAAAUGUCUGGAUCUGGACAUGGUCAAAUAAAUACCCUUACAAAAAUCUAGAGUUUUGGCAAACCCCUGUGGCAAACAUGCCACAAAUUUGCCAUUCAUUAUUUGAAAAUGCAAAUGAGUUUUACGCUAAACUCUUCAAUGUUGCCACAGGUUUGCCAUAGUAGUGUUUGCCAGUAGUGGUAUAUUGUCCAUUGUUGCCAAGGGUUUGCUAGCAGGCUCACUUCUACCGGUGAUAAGCUGCAAACUUCUGGCAAUAAUUUAUGGCAAAUUGGCUUGUUUGCUGCAAAUUUACCACAUACUAACUAGUCUACCAAGAAAGAAAGAAAUAGUAAAAAAAAUCCAUUUUUGCAAGGGUAUGAAUCAUACUGUAUCCGGUGCUGUCAAUAUUUGUCAUUAUUGAGUGCAUUAAGUAUUAUUAAAGAUAAAUUAUUAUUUUAUUUUUUUAGAUAAUAGAAAUAAACAAGCUGUUUUUUUAUUUCUUUUAUAAAGUGGGUGGAUGGAUGAAU